rnacentral:rRNA from 1 species
CGUAGCCGCGGUAAUACAGAGGGUGCGAGCGUUAAUCGGAUUUACUGGGCGUAAAGCGUGCGUAGGCGGCUUUUUAAGUCGGAUGUGAAAUCCCUGAGCUUAACUUAGGAAUUGCAUUCGAUACUGGGAAGCUAGAGUAUGGGAGAGGAUGGUAGAAUUCCAGGUGUAGCGGUGAAAUGCGUAGAGAUCUGGAGGAAUACCGAUGGCGAAGGCAGCCAUCUGGCCUAAUACUGACGCUGAGGUACGAAAGCAUGGGGAGCAAACAGGAUUAGAUACCCCCGUAGUCCCUGUCUCUUAUACC